GUGAUUGAGGCUUUUACACGGCAGACAAAACCAAACACAAUUCCAAUAUUUCCCUCUCUCUCUUUCUUUUUUCAAAAAAUUCUAAAAAAAAGUUUCUGAUAAUCACUUCUAUCUUUUUUACGUCUACCCCUUUUCUCUCUGUUACCCCAUCAAACCCUAACACUGCUGAACUCAUACCCAUCGACAACUCGCCACUUUCUUCCCUCUACCGGAUACGACUUUGUUCCUCUGCAACCGUCUUCAUCUUCUUCAAACAAAAGGUAUUGUUGUCCAAUUUCUUCCUUUUUCGUGUUUUGAUUCGUUAUUGAAUCUUCCAAUGGUCCUUCCUGUUUUUUCCUUUGCAUCCAUUUUCUGUUUUGAAAUCUGAACUGCUAAUGUUUGGUUUUUUAAAUUUGGUGUUUUUUAAAAUUUUGUGAUAAGCUAUCCUUUGGCGAAAGCGCCGAGCAAGAUGCAAGAUCGGUGCAUUUAGAGGUAACUCAGUUAUUUAUUUAUUUUUAUUUAUUUAUUGUUUGCAAUUUGAAUGGGUUUGUUUUUGUUUGUGGUUGAUGUCAUUUUCUUAUCAUGAAAGUGGUUGAUUUAUCACCGUGUUUAUUGUGUGGUCAGUGGGUAUUGGGUUUGUUCUGUAGGCGUGGAACUGCUUUCAAGGAGAAGAAUAUUGCACUUUCAAUCUUGCUUACAAAGUGUUUAAUGAAAUACCUUCGCUGGUUUCUUUAUUCUUUCUCUUAUGCUUUCUAUGUUUUUUGCUAUAGCAUUGUUGUUGUGUUUACAUGAGAAAUCUGUUAUAUCAUUGAGAUCGUGCUUCGAGAUCUUCUAGGUGGUCCGAACAACACUGUCCAAACUCUUGUAAAUCCUCAAUGUUGUGUUGAAAAUAUAAAUUUAAUGGUUUCAUGCUUUAUACAAAUAUAAGUUGAAUGAUGAUUUGCAUUGUUUUUUCAGUUGCAUCAUGGGUUUAAUCUGAUUUACUAACUCUGUGAAUCAGGUUGUAAGUUAUGAUAUUGCGGAUCUGAUCUUAAAGCAAUGGUAAGUCCCAUACCUGUAUGAAUUUUCAAGUAAAAAAAUUUAGUUUCUCACCUCUUGAUAACUUUAUCGAUUGCCCUAGAAGUAUAAAAUAAGUAUAAGUGAGAACUGGUUUAUUAUUGUGUUGUGUCCUAUCAACUUUUGAUUGAUUCCUCUGCAAUACCUUGACUGUGUUGUGUAGUUUUUAUUUCUUAUUGUUUCACACUUUCUCCAUUACUUCCUCCUGUCCUAAAUAUCAGAGAAAGUUAGAUGGGUAAACAAUAAUUGAUGAAUUCCAUUUCACUUUUUUUAUUCCAUUUGGUCCUUAACAAAAUGGUAUUUGUAAACCAGGUGACGCAGUUGCUGAUCUUUAUCGAUUGGAGCUGCUUCUAUCAUAAAGAUAUGUAUUGGAAGGGCUAUGUUAUGUUCCAACUUUUAUGCUCUUGUUAAAUUAAAUUAUGUGUUGUUUGUCUACAGUAUAAUGUAGGAUUUAACUUUUAGCAGGUUUUGGUAUUUUCUAUAAUAUUGUUGAGUACUUGUGGAUGAGAUUCUCAUGAAAAUAACAUUGUUUGUGAUUACCAAGAGAAUAUUGGAAUCUAAACUAAUUACAACACAGUUAUAUUUAUCAUCAGGUUUAAUCCCCUUAUGCCCUACUUAUUAUUGAAAUCUACUCCAUUUGGUACUAACCAAUUCAUAUAAUAUUUAUUGGAAUGUGAUAAAUGUUACACUGGAUCCUCCUCUUUCCGUUAGAAAGGAUCUUAUAGAGCAUUAUGAUAUUCAACCCGAUGUUCUUAUUAUUGUUGGCAAUCCUGGAUGUGUUUUGUCUAUCUAUUUUGACAGCCUCUUUGGUUUGUCAGCAGAAGGAGUUUGUUUGGAUGUGGUGAAUCGCAAUCCUUGUCUAUUGUCGUCGUAUAACAUGGUUGAAUUCAAAUCUUUUCAUGUGGUUCGGUUAAGCUCUUUCUCAUGUGUGCUAUCCCAAAAUGUUUCACAAACAGUUUCAUAAAUAUCUGCUUCUCAAACAACAUAUGAAGUAAAGACUUUCUCAAAAAUGAGAGAAGUCAAAACAAUUGGAGAAAUUGUUAUCCUCUAACCUGAAUCAUAUGUCGAUACUAUUGGAACUACAAUGCAAUUUAGAGCUGACAAUAGUAGCUGGUACAUGAAUAUCAAGUCCCUAAUUUUGCAUCCAUUGAUAGUGCAACAUGUUACCUUUAUUCAUUUUUAUGGAAGUUUGUUUGUUUCCUGGUUUUCUUUGUACUUUAUAAAUUUGUGUAGGGUCCUUAAAACCAUAAAAAUAUAUGUGUUAAGCUGCAUAUUAGGAAUAACACUACUUGCCAUGUAUGAAUAUAAACUCUGCUUUCUGUUUUAUUGUUUAAUUUUUUUAUUUGAAUUUACUCUCAUUGACAUAACAAUCAUUGCACUAAAGAGGUUUAAUCCAUUCUAGAAUUAUGAAGUUUGCCUCACCUGUGGAAAUUAUGGCUAAUAGUCUAGAUGUAGUAUCUUAUUUUAACGAGUUGUUUCGACAGUAUAUUUGUCAUCCUUUAGAUGAGUGUGAUAAUGACAUUCUUUAUUGAUUAUGAGGUUACAGUUCUUGGAGUGGUUGAUGUCUUGUUCUGAAAUUGUGUCUUGGAAUAUAUUAUUGAAGAAUGUAGUUGUAGUGGAGCAUUGAAUAAAUUGAAGAAUCAAAUAAAUUACCAGUAAUGCACCGACAAAUUCUACACAUCCAUUACAUUUUGUACACACUGCUUUCUAUGAGUAUAACAUAAUUCAACUUAUGUACAUUUCAUAUAAUAUAUAGGGAAAUUCUUAAUGGUGCAACUCAUUUUGUAUACGAAAGCAUACGAACAACAUGGCAUAGCAGUAAAAGUCUAAUCUUGGCAUACAUCAACUGCCUACCUUCUUUCUUAAAACAACACCACACAUUGUCGUUUCACAAUUUGCAUCAAUAUAUGACUGACAUGGUUGCCAUAAAAUUAGAUGUAUCUCCAUUAGAUUGUAUGAGUCUGUUGAGUAUAAUAUUUUAAUCUUACACACACCUCUGAGAGCCCAUGAAUUUGGAUUUUGCUUCAAUUUGAGGCACUGAAUAACUAUGACUUGCAUGUAUUAGUGGUAGAUACAAGAAUUAUGAUCACCUUAGUUUUCAAUUAUGGAAGUCACAAAAUUGUUCCCCGCAUGAAGAAGAGAGACGAUUCCUAUUAAUUAAGAGCUAUCGUGUUUUUAUUUAUACAUUUAUUUUUACUAUAUACUAGUAGGAAACCCGUGCUGUCGCACGGGUCUGGUCGGGAUUUCACAUUACUUGUAUCUAAUUGUGACUUACAAAAUUCUUUUAUAUAUAUCAAACAUUUACGCAAUAGUUUGUAUUUCAUAGAUCUGUUCACAUCUACCCGUGAAUUCAGAUGAGUUAAUAAACCCCAAUUAUAGUUAGUAUUUCAUAUAUAUGUUCACAUCUACCCGUGAAUCCAGAUGAGUUAAUAAACUCCAAUUAAAUCCAAAUGAGUUAAUUUUAAAAUUUUAUUAAAUCUCUUUUAGAUAUUAUUCUAUUUUUUAAACCUAAAAUAUAU